rnacentral:rRNA from 1 species
ACUACGGGGGGCAGCAGGGGGGAAUAUUGGACAAUGGGGGGAACCCUGAUCCAGCGACGCCGCGUGAGUGAAGAAGUAUUUCGGUAUGUAAAGCUCUAUCAGCAGGGAAGAAAAUGACGGUACCUGACUAAGAAGCCCCGGCUAACUACGUGCCAGCAGCCGCGGUAAAACGUAGGGGGCAAGCGUUAUCCGGAUUUACUGGGGGUAAAGGGAGCGUAGACGGUGCAGCAAGUCUGAUGUGAAAGGUAGGGGCCCAACCCCGGGACUGCAUUGGAAACUGUUGAACUGGAGUACAGGAGAGGUACGCGGAAUUCCUAGUGGAGCGGUGAAAUGCGUAGAUAUUAGGAGGAACACCAGGGGCGAAGGCGGCUUACUGGACUGUAACUGACGUUGAGGCUCGAAAGCGUGGGGAGCAAACAGGAUUAGAUACCCGUGUAGUC